rnacentral:snoRNA from 1 species
UAGAAUGAUGAAAGAGGUAGCAAAAUGUAACAGAAUUUUCAUGACUGAAACAAACAAGAUUAACCUUUACAGAACCGCUACACUGAUA